GACGGAGGAUGCAAGCGUUAUCCGGAAUGAUUGGGCGUAAAGCGUCCGCAGGUGGCAGUUCAAGUCUGCUGUCAAAGACCGGGGCUUAACUUCGGAAAGGCAGUGGAAACUGAACAGCUAGAGUAUGGUAGGGGCAGAGGGAAUUCCUGGUGUAGCGGUGAAAUGCGUAGAGAUCAGGAAGAACAUCGGUGGCGAAGGCGCUCUGCUGGACCAUAACUGACGCUGAUGCACGAAAGCUAGGGGAGCAAACAGG
rnacentral:rRNA from 1 species